UACAGAGGGUGCGAGCGUUAAUCGGAAUUACUGGGCGUAAAGCGCGCGUAGGCGGCUUUGCAAGUCGGGUGUGAAAUCCCCAGGCUCAACCUGGGAAUUGCAUUCGAGACUGCAUUGCUGGAGUACGGAAGAGGAAGGCGGAAUUCCCGGUGUAGCGGUGAAAUGCGUAGAUAUCGGGAGGAACAUCAGUGGCGAAGGCGGCCUUCUGGUCCAGUACUGACACUCAAGUGCGAAAGCGUGGGGAGCAAACAGG
rnacentral:rRNA from 1 species